GAUGAAGAACGCAGCGAAAUGCGAUAAGUAGUGUGAAUUGCAGAAUUCAGUGAAUCAUCGAGUCUUUGAACGCACAUUGCGCCCCCUGGUAUUCCGGGGGGCAUGCCUGUCCGAGCGUCAUUGCUGCCCUCAAGCACGGCUUGUGUGUUGGGCCUCCGUCCUCCUCCCGGGGGACGGGCCCGAAAGGCAGCGGCGGCACCGCGUCCGGUCCUCGAGCGUAUGGGGCUUCGUCACACGCUCUUGUAGGCCCGGCCGGCGCUUGCCGACACAUCAAUCUUUUUUCCAGGUUGACCUCGGAUCAGGUAGGGAUACCCGCUGAACUUAAGCAUAUCAAUAAGCGGAGGA
rnacentral:misc_RNA from 1 species